AACCAUUCUCACCUGCGGCUAGACCUGCGGAGGGAUCAUUACGAGAGUGUCACCACUCCCAACCCAUUGUUUACCUACCCGUCCACCGUGCUUCGGCAGGCAGCCCUGUGGGACAGAGCCUCGCCCCCUUUCGCGGGGGGUGCCUGCCGCUUGCCAACCAAAACUCUAGCUGUUUUAGUACCAUCUGAGUCUUCCACAAAUGAACAAAACUUUCAGCAACGGAUCUCAGAUCGGAAGAGC
rnacentral:misc_RNA from 1 species